rnacentral:rRNA from 1 species
AAACCAGCACCUCAAGUGGUCAGGAUGAUUAUUGGGCCUAAAGCAUCCGUAGCCUGUUCUAUAAGUUUCCGGUUAAAUCCACUAGCUCAACUAGUGGGCUGCCGAAAAUACUGUAGAACUAGGGAGUGGGAGAGGUAGACGGUAUUCGGUAGGAAGGGGUAAAAUCCUUUGAUCUAUUGAGGACCACCUGUGGCGAAGGCGGUCUACCAGAACACGUUCGACGGUGAGGGAUGAAAGCUGGGGGAGCAAACCGGAUUAGAAACCCUGGUAGUCC